rnacentral:rRNA from 1 species
AUUGAACGCUGGCGGCAGGCCUAACACAUGCAAGUCGAGCGGAUGAAGGGAGCUUGCUCCUGGAUUCAGCGGCGGACGGGUGAGUAAUGCCUAGGAAUCUGCCUGGUAGUGGGGGAUAACGUCCGGAAACGGGCGCUAAUACCGCAUACGUCCUGAGGGAGAAAGUGGGGGAUCUUCGGACCUCACGCUAUCAGAUGAGCCUAGGUCGGAUUAGCUAGUUGGUGGGGUAAAGGCUUACCAAGGCGACGAUCCGUAACUGGUCUGAGAGGAUGAUCAGUCACACUGGAACUGAGACACGGUCCAGACUCCUACGGGAGGCAGCAGUGGGGAAUAUUGGACAAUGGGCGAAAGCCUGAUCCAGCCAUGCCGCGUGUGUGAAGAAGGUCUUCGGAUUGUAAAGCACUUUAAGUUGGGAGGAAGGGCAGUAAGUUAAUACCUUGCUGUUUUGACGUUACCAACAGAAUAAGCACCGGCUAACUUCGUG